CCCUUAGAUGUCCUGGGCCGCACGCGCGCUACACUGAACGGAUCAGCGCGUUUUCCCUUCCCGAGAGGGACGGGUAACCUGCUGAACCCCGUUCGUGGUAGGGAUCGGGGCUUGCAAUUAUUCCCCGUGAACCAGGAAUGCCCAGUAAGUGCAAGUCAUAAGCUUGCGUUGCUUACGUCCCUGCCCUUUGUACACACCGCCCGUCGCUACUACCGAUUGAACGUUUUAGUGAGGUACUCGGACUGAGCCUCAGAAGAUUCACGUCUUUUGUGCUGCUCGGGAAGAUUCCCAAACUUGAGCGUUUAGAGGAAGUAAAAGUCGUAACA
rnacentral:rRNA from 1 species